GCCGUGUACUGUAAAGAUGUCCUGGAUAUAGAGCAGUUUUCCACAGUCAAAGGAGUCAACCUAGACGCAACGGACGACUCAUUUUAUACAAAGUUCAGUAAGGGCAGUGUAUCAAUACCAUGGCAGAAUGAGAUGAUUGAAAUGGAUUGUUUUAAGGAACUAAAUGUGUUCAAUGAAGAUGGGGACCCCCCUCCUGACCUGAUUGAAGAACUUCCCCCUCCCCCGCCCCGGGGUGGGCUUUUUAGCAGGCUCUUCAGAAGGCAGAAUCGUGAGGCUCACUGACGUUGGGGAAAUGGUGGUGCUGUCGGCUUCCAUUGCUGCGAUUAAGAUCCUCCAAAAAGAAAAUUUUAAAAACAAACACGUGGACUGAACUUGCUAACUAUUGUGUCAGUGAACAGAGGCAAACCACCAUGUUUUUAUAUUACAUACAAACUCAGGCUGGGACGUAGAGAUAGAGAAGGAAAAAAAAAACGCUGUAGAAAAAAAAAAUUGAUACAGUGACCGGAUCAUUUUUUCUUUCGUCUCAACUUUCAAAUCAAAAAUUGUCGACGGACAUCAGGAGGUGUGGACAAUUUUUGGAGGACUGAAAUUUUGCUCGGACUUGCCAGUAUUGUCUCAUUAAGAUGAAGAAAAUAUCUUACCCGUAUAUCUUUUGUAAUAGUGUCAUAGGGCGAUUGAUAGGUGAAAGUACAAAUGUGUGUUUGUAUAAGAGAAUGAUUCAUAUUGGUUGAAUUUUUCUAUAUAUUAGAAUCACUUUUAAAUAUUUUUAGCUCACCUGAGCCGAAGGCUCAAGUGAGCUUUUCUGAUCACAUUUUGUCCGUCGUCCGUCCGUCCGUCUGUCUGUCCGUCUGUCUGUCCGUCUGUC